rnacentral:sRNA from 1 species
CGACCGUAUACCGGGGGUUUUGUUGGUGAGAGUUCCGGGGAGCGGCCUGGAGAGAGGUGGAGGCGAAGUCUAGUUUCGCUUCAGGGAGGCUCAGACACUGUGGGGUCAAGUCGGCGGUGGAGGCCCUAGGCCCAGCCUGUGGAGACGGGCGGGGACUCGGCCUGGGCAGUCCUGGGAGAAGCUGAGCCGGCUCUGCCUGAAGCCAGUUCUCUUGCCGCAGGUGCUGGUGGACAGCGCGGAAGAGGGGUCCCUCGUUGCGGCGGCGGAGCUGGCCGCUCAGAAGCGCGAACAGAGACUGCGCAAAUUCCGGGAGCUGCACCUGAUGCGGAAUGAAGCUCGUAAAUUAAAUCACCAGGAAGUUGUGGAAGAAGAUAAAAGACUAAAAUUACCUGCAAAUUGGGAAGCCAAAAAAGCUCGUUUGGAGUGGGAACUACAGG